rnacentral:rRNA from 1 species
UGAGCAAUCUGCCCUUCACAUCGGAAUAACCAUUGGAAACGACGUCUAAUGCCGAAUACGACCUCCUUUCACAUGAUCGGAGGUGGAAAGCUCCGGCGGAGAAGGAUGAGCUCGCGGCCUAUCAGCUUGUUGGUGAGGUAAUAGCUCACCAAGGCGAUGACGGGUAGCCGGCUGAGGAGGGUGACCGGCCACACGUGGGACUGAGACACGGCCCAGACCUCGUAACGGGGAGG